GCAGAGAAUCCCCUCGUACCUUUUGCAUCAUGAUUCAGCCAGUAAAACACAUGCAAAGAGACCUCUAGUUUGUAACCCCGAAACCCGACGAGCUACUCCGAGACAGCCUACCCAGGGCCAACCCGUCUCUGUGGCAAAAGAGUGGGAAGAUCUCCGAGUAGAGGCAAAAGACCUACCGAGCCGGGUUAUAGCUGGUUGCCCGAUAAAUGAAUAAAAGUUCAGCCCCGUUAGGCCCAACUCGCAACAGUCACACAUUUAAAGACAAAGAGCCACCAAACGGGAGUUAAUCAGAGGAGGUACAGCUCCCCUGAUAAAGGAUACAACCUUAUAAAGGAGAAUAAGGAAUAUAAUAAACAAGGCCACAGAUCCCAGUAGGCCUAAAAGCAGCCACCUGCCUAGAAAGCGUUAAAGCUCAGAUCCAAUUAAACCUGUUAUCCUAUUAGACCUCUCCGAAAUCCCUCCUUCUACCGGGCCUCUCUAUGCUUCCAUAGAAGAGAUUAUGCUGAAAUGAGUAACAAGAAGAUUAAACUUCUCCUAGCACAAGUGUAAAUCGGACCGGACUAACCACCGAUAUUUAACGAACCCAACAACAGAGGGCCAUACACCACCGUCACCUAAACCAAGAAAAUCAUAUUUACUAAAUCGUUUCCCCCACACAGGAGUGCUCAACCAAGGAAAGACUAAAAGAAAAAAAAGGAACUCGGCAAACCUAAACCCCGCCUGUUUACCAAAAACACCGCCUCUUGCACACACAGUAUAAGAGGUCCCACCU
rnacentral:rRNA from 1 species